rnacentral:rRNA from 1 species
CGCGUAGGCGGUGCGGUAAGUCACCUGUGAAAUCCCCGGGCUUAACUCGGGCCUGCAGGCGAAACUGCCGUGCUCGAGGGUGGGAGAGGUGCGUGGAAUUCCCGAUGUAGCGGUGAAAUGCGUAGAUAUCGGGAGGAACACCUGUGGCGAAAGCGGCGCACUGGACCACUUCUGACGCUGAGGCGCGAAAGCUAGGGGAGCAAACAGGAUUAGAUACCCUGGUAGUCCUAGCCCUAAACCAUGAUUGCUUGGUGUGAUCGGUAUCCAAUCCGAUCGUGCCGCAGCUAACGCGAUAAGCAAUCCGCCUGGGGAGUACGGUCGCAAGGCUGAA